UAACAGUUAACAAAAGAUUAAGUCAACUUUUAACUUGAUAUUUUCUGUUACUUUUAACUUAAUCUUUUGUUAACAUUGCAAAAGUAAGCCAUGCUGUUGAAAGGAUAAUUAACAAAAAGGUUGAAGCUGUAAAGGUUUGGUAUUGUUGAAGUGGGAAAAAGUAAGAAAUUUUGAACAUUUUUGUUAACAAAAGAUUAAGUCAACUUUUUUAACUUGAUAUUUUCUGUUACUUUUAACUUAAUCUUUUGUUAACAUUGCAAAAGUAAGCCAUGCUGUUGAAAGGAUAAUUAACAAAAAGGUUGAAGCUGAAAAAGUUUGGUAUUUGUUAAAGUGGGAAAAAGUAAGAAAUUUUGAACAUUUUUGUUAACAAAAGAUUAAGUCAACUUUUAACUUGAUAUUUUCUGUUACUUUUAACUUAAUCUUUUGUUAACAUUGCAAAAGUAAGCCAUGCUGUUGAAAGGAUAAUUAACAAAAAGGUUAAGCUGAAAAAGUAUGGUAUUUAUUGAAGUGGGUAAAAGUAAGAAAUUUUGAACAUUUUUGUCAACAAAAGAUUAAGUCAACUUUUAACUUGAUAUUUUCUGUUACUUUUAACUUAAUCUUUUGUUAACAUUGCAAAAGUAAGCCAUGCUGUUGAAAGGAUAAUUAACAAAAAGGUUAAGCUGAAAAAGUAUGGUAUUUAUUGAAGUGGGUAAAAGUAAGAAAUUUUGAACAUUUUUGUCAACAAAAGAUUAAGUCAACUUUUAACUUGAUAUUUUCUGUUACUUUUAACUUAAUCUUUUGUUAACAUUGCAAAAGUAAGCCAUGCUGUUGAAAGGAUAAUUAACAAAAAGGUUGAAGCUGUAAA